rnacentral:rRNA from 1 species
CAGCAGUGGGGAAUCUUCCGCAAUGGACGAAAGUCUGACGGAGCAACGCCGCGUGAGUGAUGACGGCCUUCGGGUUGUAAAGCUCUGUUAAUCGGGACGAAAGGUCCUCUUGUGAAUAAUUAGAGGAAUUGACGGUACCGGAAUAGAAAGCCACGGCUAACUACGUGCCAGCAGCCGCGGUAAUACGUAGGUGGCAAGCGUUGUCCGGAAUUAUUGGGCGUAAAGCGCGCGCAGGCGGAUUAGUCAGUCUGUCUUAAAAGUUCGGGGCUUAACCCCGUGAUGGGAUGGAAACUGCUAAUCUAGAGUAUCGGAGAGGAAAGUGGAAUUCCUAGUGUAGCGGUGAAAUGCGUAGAUAUUAGGAAGAACACCAGUGGCGAAGGCGACUUUCUGGACGAAAACUGACGCUGAGGCGCGAAAGCCAGGGGAGCGAACGGGAUUAGA